UGAGGAAUGUUGGGCAAUGCCCGCAAGGGUGACCCAGCAACGCCGCGUGGAGGAUGAAUGUCGUAAGAUUGUAAACUCCUGUUAGAGGGGAAGAAUAGUACCGGUUGGACCGGUAUAUGACUGUACCCUCAGAGAAAGCCCCGGCUAACUACGUGCCAGCAGCCGCGGUCAUACGUAGGGGGCAAGCGUUGUCCGGAUUUACUGGGUGUAAAGGGCGCGCAGGCGGGAUAAAAAGUCAGUGGUGAAAUCCUACAGCUUAACUGUAGAACUGCCUUUGAUACUUUUAUUCUUGAGUUCGGGAGAGAGAGACGGAAUUCCAGGUGUAGUGGUGAAAUACGUAGAUAUCUGGAAGAACACCAGUUGCGAAGGCGGUCUCUUGGUCCGACACUGACGCUGAGGCGCGAAAGCGUGGGGAGCAAACA
rnacentral:rRNA from 1 species